rnacentral:rRNA from 1 species
GACGUAGGGGGCCAGCGUUGUUCGGAAUUACUGGGUGUAAAGGGUUCGUAGGCGGUGCGGCAAGUUGGGAGUGAAAUCUCUGGGCUUAACCCAGAGGCUGCUUCCAAAACUGCUGUGCUUGAGUGUGGGAGAGGCGCGUGGAAUUGCAGGUGUAGCGGUGAAAUGCGUAGAUAUCUGCAGGAACACCCGUGGCGAAGGCGGCAUCCUGGACCAACACUGACACUGAGGAGCGAAAUCCAGGGGAGCAAACUGG